rnacentral:rRNA from 1 species
GGACUACUGGGGUUUCUAAUCCUGUUUGCUCCCCACGCUGUCGCGCCUCAGCGUCAGCCACUGCCCAGCGGGCCGCCUUCGCCACCGGUGUUCUUCCGGAUCUCUACGCAUUCCACCGCUACACCCGGAAUUCCACCCGCCUCUACAGUGCUCCAGCCUCGCAGUUCGCACGGCCGACCCGGGGUUGAGCCCCGGGCUUUCACCGCACGCUUACCAGGCCGCCUACGCGCCCUUUACGCCCAGUGAUUCCGGACAACGCUCGCACCCUCCGUAUUACCGCGGCUGCUGGCAC